GUUCAUAACCACAUGGUUCAAACAUCUCGAGACAUUACGUCAAGCAGCUUGUCAAUUAAGGGAAGUAAACACAUUUCUAAUGUUAUUAUUUCAUUAACAAAACUCGCUUGCACCAAUGUUUGACAAUUAAUUGGCUUCCAUAUUUCUGAAACCAGAGUGUAUGUGCUUCUUACCAAAUAAUACACUUUGUAAAACAUUCACACUUUAACCACUACGAUUUAAUGCAAC